UUCAUGGCCCGCUAGCCACAAACCUCCUACUACAUCCUCCCAAAGUUACUGGACCAGGACAUCAGAUUCUGUCAGCCGUACUCAUAUGAAAAUUGCAAGUUCUGUGAUUUAUGUCAAAGACCAAGUGCAAUCAGGCAUAGCCAUUAUCAAACACACUUAUUUUCAGCAUUUUCUCAGUCGCAGUCUUUUACAAAGUUCUAUCUCAGCCGUAGACUUGAACGACUAGAAAUCACAGAAUGUUUAUUAUGUUAAUGUUUAUUUCUUCCUCUUCCUUCCUCAUUCUGAUCCAAUAACACCGGCUCUUCUUCAUCAUCCUCUUCGUUACGCUCCUCAUGGUAAUCCUCCUCAUCCUCUUCAAACCAGAUUUUGGGAUCCGUCGAUCCCGUCAAUCGAAGGAUCCCACCCGCCUUCUUCUUCUAAAUCUUCACAUUUUCCGUCUUUUCUCUCCUCUUCUUCAUCUUCACUUUCUUCGU